rnacentral:rRNA from 1 species
GGAAUCUUGCGCAAUGGGCGAAAGCCUGACGCAGCCAUGCCGCGUGAAUGAUGAAGGUCUUAGGAUUGUAAAAUUCUUUCACCGGGGACGAUAAUGACGGUACCCGGAGAAGAAGCCCCGGCUAACUUCGUGCCAGCAGCCGCGGUAAUACGAAGGGGGCUAGCGUUGCUCGGAAUUACUGGGCGUAAAGGGAGCGUAGGCGGACAUUUAAGUCAGGGGUGAAAUCCCGGGGCUCAACCUCGGAAUUGCCGUUGAUACUGGGUGUCUUGAGUAUGAGAGAGGUGUGUGGAACUCCGAGUGUAGAGGUGAAAUUCGUAGAUAUUCGGAAGAACACCAGUGGCGAAGGCGACACACUGGCUCAUUACUGACGCUGAGGCUCGAAAGCGUGGGGAGCAAAC